AUGAAGAGGCUGAGAGAGAUAAUCUUCGAGGACUCAUCGUUAUCCGAAGAGGAAGAAGACGGCAAUGACUUCGAAACUGUUCUUGGUAUGAUUUUCAAUGAUGAUAUUCGGCGGCUGAGGAGAGGAUCACAAUUUGGCCACAUACAACUCAACCGUGAUAGAAUGGAGGGCCAUGCCAAGAUCAAGAGAGGUUAUUUUGGUCCUAAUCCAACCUAUCUGGAGAAGUAUCUUCACAGACGCUUUUGUAUGCACACAAGUCUUUUUCUCACCGUUCCAAAAGCCUUUGAGAAGUAUUACAAUUGGUUCAAGCUUAGAAGGAAUGCAUAG
rnacentral:rRNA from 1 species